CUUUUCCCCAAUAAAUGGAGUCAUGUGGUUUGUAGCCAUUGGAGUCUGGCCUCUUUCACUUAGCACAAUGCGUGUUUUUGCAUGCAUCAGUAGUUUGUUCCUUUUUAUUGCUGAGUAGUAGUCUUUUGUUUGCAUGUACUAUAGUCUGUUUAUCCAUUCACCAGUUGAGCAACAUUUAGUUUGUUUCCAGUUUGGGGUAAUUAUGAAUAAAACUGCUAUAAACUUUCACAUGCAGGUCUUUGUGUGGACGUGGGUUUUCAUUUCUCUUAGGUAAAUACCUAGGAGUGGGAUUGCUGGACUGUAUGGAAAUGGCGUUUUUCUUAAAAAGUUAACUGUCUAUAUGAUAUAUAUGGAUUAUCUACUUCCAGAAUUCUGCCUAACCAGUUUAGAAUACUGAGUUGCCCCAAAUUUGCCUCUAAUUCCCCUCACUGCCUAAACCAACUGAUUUUUUUUUCCAGUCAAUUCAGCCAUGCUCCAAACUAAUUUUAAAUAAUUAGCGUUAGUCCAAAUGGAACAUAAUUAGAGAAUUAACUCUGUCAUCAAAAUAGUUGUAUAAACCAGUGUCGACACAAAUACUCGCAACUUGAAGUACUCGCGGUCUUUGGAGCAUCAAUUCUGCAGUUCUUCUUCAUUACCCUGGGAAAUUGAGAAUAGCAUGAAGAUGUGUCAGGAACAGGGUGACAGGGAAAGAGGUGGAGCAGAGCCACGCGGGCAGGACUCUUCCUCACCUGGCAGCAAACGUUGUUUGUGAAAUCAGCACUUUAGAAAUAAAUCGUAGAUGCUUCCGUGAAGAUUUCAGCUAGUUGUCCCUGGUGGCAUUGUUGCAUGUUUGAAUUCGUAGGUGGGUACUGGUUUAGUCUCACUGCAAUAGCUUCUGGAUGUGUCUCUUGAGGUCUUCAGUCAUGAAGGGCUGUCCCGGGAACGACGAGAAGCCAGUUGUCAGUCAGAUCCUCGCUCUCAACAACUGAAGUCCCAUAGAAGCUGAACGGUGGAAGGUGAAGGUUUUACAAGUGGCUGAAUUGCUCAUGAUAUCCUUCAGGAUUCCAGCAAAAUUAUUUGUUUCCUCAAUGAUCGAUCCCCCAAAAAAGAGAACAGUAUGAUGGAGAGAGUGGAACUAACAUUGGCUAAGCAACUACUGUGUGCUAUUAAUUUGUGCUACAGUCUGUUUCAUGAAUUUUCAAAUUUAAUUCUAGCAACCACCUUAUGAAGGAAAUAUUAUCUCCUGUAAUUACUUAUAGCUGUGGCAAUCAAGGCUCAGAGAGGUUAUUAACUUGCUCAUAUUGCUAGUUAAGUGGCAAAACUCAUAGUCCCACCAGAUCUCUUUGACUCAAAAGCUUGUCCUCUUCCCAAUGCUACACAGUUGCCUCCCUGAAUACCUGACCGCAUCCCUUAAAAAUCCUGCCCUCACUUGGGGUCCCAGGAAAAUACAGGAUGCCCAGUUAAAUUUUCAGAUAAACAAUAAAUACCUUUUUAGUAUUUGUGUGUCCCAAAUAUUGCAUGAGGUAUGCAGAUACUAAUAAUUAUUUCUUGUUUUUCUGAAAUUCAAAUUUAACUGGGCAUCCUAUAUUUUUGGUAACUGUAGCCUGGCCCUCAUUGAUGCUUUCUGGCCACACGAUGGAGAUGCCAAUAUUCUGCAGUUUACUCUUCUUUAUUGUCAUUGCACAAAGAUGUCUUCCUGGGCUGGCCCCGUGGCCGAGUGGUUAAGUUCGCGCGCUCCGCUGCAGGCGGCCCAGUGUUUUGUUGGUUCGAAUCCUGGGCGCGGACGUGGCACUGCUCAUCAAACCACACUGAGGCAGCGUCCCACAUGCCACAAGUAGAAGGACCCACAACAAAGAAUAUACAGCUAUGUACCGGGGUG
ensembl:lncRNA